UGCCUAAACGGUCUAUUUCUCCA
rnacentral:siRNA from 1 species